UACGAAGGGUGCAAGCGUUGUUCGGAUUUAUUGGGCGUAAAGCGCGCGCAGGCGGGCGAUUAAGCCAGAUGUGAAAUCCCGGGGCUCAACCCCGGAACUGCGUCUGGAACUGGUUGUCUAGAAUCUCGGAGGGGGAAGGGGAAUUUCGCAUGUAGGGGUAAAAUCCGUAGAGAUGCGAAGGAACACCAGAGGCGAAGGCGCCUUCCUGGACGAGUAUUGACGCUGAGGCGCGAAAGCGUGGGGAG
rnacentral:rRNA from 1 species